GCCUCGCUAAACGAUGCACACCUGUAACUCACGUGACCCUGAUUAUUAUUGAAACGAGAACGAGGGCGUCGUGCCUUUAUAAGACUGCGUUAAUGUUUCCGUGGAGUUAUCCCUUCCGGCGUUGUUGUUUAUUGAUUGUUAAACAUGGCUUCAUUUGCAAAGGUGUGUGUGUCCUCAUUGCGUGUGUCUGUAAUGCAUUCUGUUUUCCGAAGAGAGAUGUGAACUUUAAGGCCUCUGCAGUUGACCGCCAAAGUGAUGAUGUGGUUGUCACCACAACACCCGUUCCCCACAACCAGACCACAUCUGCCCAUACUGAAGCUGGUGGUGGUGCAAGUGAAGAUGCUGUGGCUACUACCCCAGCACCUAAUCCACACAACCAGACAACUUCUGCACAAACUGAAGUUACUGAUGGAGCCAGUGAAGAUGCUGUGGACCGCCAAAGUGAUGAUGUGGUUUCCACCACAACACCCAAUCCCCACAACCAGACCACAUCUGCCCCUACUGAAGCUGGUGGAGAUGGAGCAAGUGAAGAUGAUGAUGAUGCAGCAAGUGAAGAUGCUGUGGCUACCACCCCAACACCAAAUCCCCCAACUACAUCUGACCACACUGCAGCUACCGGUGAUGCAAGUGAGGGUGCUGUGGCUGCCCAAACUGGAACUACUGUAUCCCAUACGACUGAAGUCUGAUUCGACUGCUCCUCUGGUCACAAUGACCUGAGUCACUGUCUGGACUUUUUGCCUCUACAUGUUGACUGCAAUAAAGGACAGAUUUGUUUUUUGAAUCAAAUGUUGUCUUGCCUUUUUCAAAUUGAGGCCUUGUCCUGUUUUGGUGGUGGAGAUGACUAUGAAGCCUCUUUCCUAACGUAUUUCCGGUAGUGGUUUUACUAUAUGCUUCAUGCAACAAGGCCUUUAACGACUCUACAAUUUAAAAGCAUCUAGUUGUGUCAAUUAGUAAAAUGGUUGAACUGGUAGUGAUGCACUAUAAUGGUGAACUGCUUGUGGCAUUUCAAAAAUCU
ensembl:lncRNA